rnacentral:rRNA from 1 species
UACGGAGGGUGCGAGCGUUGUCCGGAUUUAUUGGGUUUAAAGGGUGCGUAGGCGGCCUGCUAAGUCAGUGGUGAAAGGUAUCAGCUCAACUGAUGACGUGCCAUUGAAACUGGCGGGCUUGAGUACAGACGAGGUAGGCGGAAUUUAUGGUGUAGCGGUGAAAUGCAUAGAUACCAUAAAGAACACCGAUAGCGAAGGCAGCUUACUAGGCUGAGACUGACGCUGAUGCACGAAAGCGUGGGGAGCGAACAGGAUUAGAAACCCCUGUAGUCC